GCUUCAUUCAAAUAUCUGCCCUAUCAACUUUCGAUGGUAGGAUAGUGGCCUACCAUGGUUUUAACGGGUAACGGGGAAUAAGGGUUCGAUUCCGGAGAGGGAGCCUGAGAAACGGCUACCACAUCCAAGGAAGGCAGCAGGCGCGCAAAUUACCCAAUCCCGACCGGGGAGGUAGUGACAAUAAAUAACAAUAUAGGGCUCUUUUGGGUCUUAUAAUUGGAAUGAGUACAAUUUAAACCCCUUAACGAGGAACAAUUGGAGGGCAAGUCUGGUGCCAGCAGCCGCGGUAAUUCCAGCUCCAAUAGCGUAUAUUAGAGUUGUUGCAGUUAAAAAGCUCGUAGUUG
rnacentral:rRNA from 1 species